UACGUAGGGUGCAAGCGUUGUCCGGAAUUAUUGGGCGUAAAGAGCUCGUAGGCGGUUUGUCGCGUCUGCUGUGAAAACUCAGGGCUUAACCCUGAGCCUGCAGUGGGUACGGGCAGACUAGAGUGCGGUAGGGGAGACUGGAAUUCCUGGUGUAGCGGUGAAAUGCGCAGAUAUCAGGAGGAACACCGGUGGCGAAGGCGGGGUCUCUGGGCCGUAACUGACGC
rnacentral:rRNA from 1 species